rnacentral:rRNA from 1 species
GAUGAACGCUGGCGGCGUGCCUAAUACAUGCAAGUCGAGCGAACAGACGAGGAGCUUGCUCCUUUGACGUUAGCGGCGGACGGGUGAGUAACACGUGGGUAACCUACCUAUAAGACUGGGAUAACUUCGGGAAACCGGAGCUAAUACCGGAUAAUAUUUCGAACCGCAUGGUUCGAUAGUGAAAGAUGGCUUUGCUAUCACUUAUAGAUGGACCUGCGCCGUAUUAGCUAGUUGGUAAGGUAACGGCUUACCAAGGCAACGAUACGUAGCCGACCUGAGAGCGUGAACGGCCACAUGGGAACUGAGACACGUUCCAGACUCCUACGGUAGGCAGCAGUAGGGAAUCUUCCGCAAGGGGCGAAAGCGUGACGGAGCAACGCCGCGUGAGUGAUGAAGUUCUUCGGAUCGGAAAACGCUGUUAUUAGGGAAGAACAAACGUGUAAGUAGCUGUGCACGUCUUGACGGUACCUAAUCAGAAAGCCACGGCUAACUCCGUG